rnacentral:tRNA from 1 species
UGCGGGUUAGUGGAGUGGUUCCAUUUGAGGUUCAUGCCCUCAAGACACCAGUUCGAAUCUGGUACCCGCUU